GUUUGACCUUGUUGAACUUAGGAUAAGUCACUUGGACCUUUCAAGGUUGAUUUGAAGUGAUUUUGAAGUUUGACCUUCCUUUAAUAUUUUAAUUCAAGUUUAUUUUUAAUAUUAAAAAUGCCAAAAAUAUUUUAUUCUUUUCUUGACUUCCAAUCUUCAUCUCACUUCUGUUUUUGAUUGUUUGACCUUGACUUUCAAUGUUAUUGGUCAACAUAUGAGGAUUGAC
rnacentral:lncRNA from 1 species